AUGAAGGAGAAAAUGCAGAGAGAAUUUCUUCCCUUUAAUUAUGAGGAAGCCCUGUUCAGACAGCUCCAAAACUUACGACAAGGCAACAAGAGUGUCGGUGAAUAUACAGAUGAGUUCUAUCAAUGUCAGAGGCGUGUGAGCGAGCGUUCGCCAUUGAGAAGUAGCUGCAGGGGCCAUUACUUGGUGGUGGUAAUUUAUCUCGGACAUGCCCUUAUACAACAUCACCCAAGACAGUUGUGGAUAGCAGCAAAGCAAGGAAAAUGGGGUCUGCACCCACACCAAAAGGAGGUACAGAUUUGUCUAAAUAUUCUACAGCCAAGAGUGCUAAUUGUUACAAGUGUGGAUCUUCUGAACAUCUAA
rnacentral:rRNA from 1 species